rnacentral:lncRNA from 1 species
UGACUUGGCUUCCAUCACAGACAGCAGGUCUCAUCACCUGUGAGGGCUUCUACUUUCUGGUGUGUGGACUAACGCCCAGGAUCUCUAGAUGCUGUGAACACAGAGCAAGUCUUUGUUUGAUAGAACGAGGGCUGAGUGUGCACAGGUGCAAGAAUCUGCCCAGAGGAAAGCGUGGCUCAGCCAGGUAGACGGCACACAUGAUGUGCAUUACAGAGCAAGAGGCCCAUGUCUUGGUACUCCACUCCUGCCCAAGAACGUCAUCUUCCACAGGCCAAUGGAGCUUGCUAAUCCCACAAACCAGGGUCACACCACCCACAGCCAGCCAGGAGCCCAGAGUGGAUUCCAGCCCCUGGCCCCGGAGGUGUGCUAGGCCAUCCCUCAGUGCCAGCUCUGAGGGGCACGGGUGCGCUCUCGGGACAGAGAUUUAAGUGAAGAUCUCACACAAGACACAAAACAAGUUACGUUUGUCUACAACAAUACUGAGGCACUCAAACCUUCUUCUUCAACUCCAAAGCACAGCAGGCCAUUAAAAACAGUUUCCCGUUGCACAGUUGCGUCUGAAGUCAUUCCUCCGGAGACAUUACUCAAUAUUAGAUCGGGUUGAAAAUGGGUGAAAAAAUGUUUGUGAAUUUUAAAGAAAAUAUUGAUGGAAAAUGUUGUGUCAUAAUUUCAAUUUUUUAUAAACAAAGUCAACCAGCUGUAGUCCCUGAUAGAGUUAUGGGUGGAAAAUCUCUUCUGUUACAUAGAGAACUGAAUUUUUAGCCAGACCUGAAUGUGCCUUGUGCAUGCAAUUUGCACAUCUGUGGUGUGUGUGCAGUACUGCACGUGUACACGUCAGGGAUUCGCACAUGCCCAUGGCUAGAUGCCAAACUAUCCAGGGGUGUAUGCAAAUCCCCGGCUUGCUCACAUGAAGUGGGCAAAUGUGUGAAAUCUCUGCCUGGAAAUCAACCCCACAAUGCGUAGCAGCUAUACUAUGACAAUGCAGGAAGAUGGAGCGUUACUCUGUGUUCCAUUUCAUAUGUAAGGGGUCAAAGCCAUGAAAUUUCAGAUUCCCAAGUGACUUUUGCUUUUAGAAGAAAGAGU